rnacentral:rRNA from 1 species
UACGUAGGGCGCAAGCGUUAUCCGGAAUUAUUGGGCGUAAAGAGCUCGUAGGCGGUUUGUCGCGUCUGCCGUGAAAGUCCGGGGCUCAACUCCGGAUCUGCGGUGGGUACGGGCAGACUAGAGUGAUGUAGGGGAGACUGAGAUUCCUGGUGUAGCGGUGAAAUGCGCAGAUAUCAGGAGGAACACCGAUGGCGAAGGCAGGUCUCUGGGCAUUAACUGACGCUGAGGAGCGAAAGCAUGGGGAGCGAACAGG